rfam:Myotis davidii contig87635, whole genome shotgun sequence.
GCCAGUGUUGCUCAGUGAUUAGAGUGUUGGCCUGCUCACCAAAGGGUUGUGGGUUCGAUUCCCAGUCAAGGGCA